ACGGAAGGCAGCAGUGGGGAAUAUUGGGCAAUGGGCGCAAGCCUGACCCAGCAACGCCGCGUGAAGGAAGAAGGCUUUCGGGUUGUAAACUUCUUUUGUGAGGGACGAGAAGAAGACGGUACCUCAUGAAUAAGCCACGGCUAACUACGUGCCAGCAGCCGCGGUAAUACGUAGGUGGCAAGCGUUAUCCGGAUUUACUGGGUGUAAAGGGCGCGUAGGCGGGGAUGCAAGUCAGAUGUGAAAUCCAUGGGCUCAACUCAUGAACUGCAUUUGAAACUGUGUCUCUUGAGUGCUGGAGAGGUAGAUGGAAUUCCUAGUGUAGCGGUGAAAUGCGUAGAUAUUAGGAAGAACACCAGUGGCGAAGGCGAUCUACUGGACAGUAACUGACGCUGAGGCGCGAAAGCGUGGGGAGCAAACAGGAUUAGAUACCCUGGAA
rnacentral:rRNA from 1 species